AGCCUGCCGCGUGUAGUGAAGAAGGCCUUCGGGUUGUAAAGUACUUUCAGCGGGGAGGAAGGCGAUGAGGUUAAUAACCUUGUCGAUUGACGUUACCCGCAGAAGAAGCACCGGCUAACUCCGUGCCAGCAGCCGCGGUAAUACGGAGGGUGCAAGCGUUAAUCGGAAUUACUGGGCGUAAAGCGCACGCAGGCGGUCUGUCAAGUCGGAUGUGAAAUCCCCGGGCUCAACCUGGGAACUGCAUUCGAAACUGGCAGGCUUGAGUCUUGUAGAGGGGGGUAGAAUUCCAGGUGUAGCGGUGAAAUGCGUAGAGAUCUGGAGGAA
rnacentral:rRNA from 1 species